UGCGACAGGCUUAACACAUGCAAGUCGAGGGGCAGCACGGUGUAGCAAUACACUGGUGGCGACCGGCGCACGGGUGAGUAACACGUGUGCAACCAACCCCGUACCGGGAGAUAACCCGCGGAAACGUGGACUAACAUCCCAUAAUACUGGAGGAUCGCAUGAUCUUUCAUUUAAAAUUCCGGUGGUACGGGACGGGCACGCGCGACAUUAGGUAGUUGGCGGGGUAACGGCCCACCAAGCCGACGAUGUCUAGGGGUUCUGAGAGGAAGGUCCCCCACACUGGAACUGAGACACGGUCCAGACUCCUACGGGAGGCAGCAGUGAGGAAUAUUGGUCAAUGGGCGAGAGCCUGAACCAGCCAAGUCGCGUGAGGGAUGAAUGGUCCAUGGCCUGUAAACCUCUUUUGUCAAGGAAGAAUAAAUUGCACGUGUGCGAUCUUGCCAGUACUUGACGAAUAAGCAUCGGCUAACUCCGUGCCAGCAGCCGCGGUAAUACGGGGGAUGCGAGCGUUAUCCGGAUUUAUUGGGUUUAAAGGGCGCGUAGGCGGGACGCCAAGUCAGCGGUAAAAGACUGCAGCUAAACUGUAGCACGCCGUUGAAACUGGCGCCCUCGAGACGAGACGAGGGAGGCGGAACAAGUGAAGUAGCGGAGAAAUGCUUAGAUAUCACUUGGAACCCCGAUAGCGAAGGCAGCUUCCCAGGCUCGAUCUGACGCUGAUGCGCGAGAGCGUGGGUAGCGAACAGGAUUAGAUACCCUGGUAGUCCACGCCGUAAACGAUGCUCACUGGAUCUUGGCGAUACACUGCCAGGGUUCAAGCGAAAGUAUUAAGUGAGCCACCUGGGGAGUACGUCGGCAA
rnacentral:rRNA from 1 species